GAAGGGACGUUGAAGACGACGACGUUGAUAGGCCGGGUGUGUAAGCGCAGCGAUGCGUUGAGCUAACCGGUACUAAUGACCCGUGAGGCUUAACCUUACAACGCCAGAGGCGUUU
rnacentral:rRNA from 1 species